UUACUUUCUAUCUUCCAUCAGACUGGGCUCUGGUUUGAAAGGGAUGGUCACAGUUAAGAUCCAAAAGGGGACUGGUACUACAUUCUUCUGGAGUUUUAGGUAGGCAAAGAGUUGACUUCACCACCUCUGGAAAAGGGCAAAUCCAACACCUAACCAAUCAGUUCUGCACUGUCAAAAACUUUACAAUUCAAAAUAAAGUCUUGCUACCCAGUUUUAUAUCUGAACCACCUACACCACCAGAAGGGGGACCACAAGAAAGGAAGGAGCCAGAAAACAAAAGACUACCAAGAAUGCCCAUGGACAAAUUGCGAACAAUGACAGACUGGUUGACUCAUCAGUUCAGGGCUAAGUGAAUUGUGGGAACUGAACUCAAACUAUCCCUCCCCAGUGGGCAGAGCCAAAUGGCCCCAUCCCACUGAGGCUGGGUUGGCCAUGUGACUUGCUCUGGCCAGUGGAGUAUUAGCACAUGUGACGCAUGCAGAAGCAUAAACUGUGUUUGUGUGAUUAGGCUUGCCUUCUUGUGCUUUUGUCAUCGUCACUGAGAACUUCUGGACAACUUCUGCAGUCUAGUCCAAGUCCGAAGAACACAGAUGGAGCAGACCCGAGCUCAACUCAUGGCAAGUAGUCAAGCUCAGCCAGAUCUCCAGCUUGAAGCAGUCACCCAGCCAAGCCUGUCAGCCAACCUGCAAAAGCAUGAGUGAGAACGAUUAUUUUAAGUUGAGCAGAUUUGGGGCAGCAAUAGCAACUGAAACCUAAGUAUAUGUCUUUCCAUGAUGAGAUGAGAACUCCUAGAGGAUACCACCAUGCUUUCUAGGUUCUUUCUGCCCAUCCCCACCCUCAAGUAUAUGGCAGGCAAGCAAUAAAUAUUUGUUGAGUGAAUAUUUGAAAAACCCCAUUAGGCUCAUCUAAAUCCUAAAACAGCUUUUGUGAGAAGUCAAGUUUUUAAAGAAGGGUAAAAACUAGUCUGGAUACUAAUUAGCCAUUAAAAGAUAAAGAAGUUUGAAAAAAAAAGUUUGCAUGUAAAAAUGAAAGACACUUGAUUUAUUGCAUUAAAAAACUUUAUUUCAUUUAAAAGGUCCAAUAUAAGCCAAAUUAAACCCCAAAUUGACAGCUACACUUAGAGAUCUCCUGAACUAAAUGGCACUGUUUGAGAUGAGUGUCUUGUUAAAGGAAGUCAUUUGCUACUACCACCAUUUCCCCCAAAGUAGUUCUAGAGCAGAAGCUGGUUUUACUAUAAUACACAUCAGAUAUUUCAGAUGUCAUCUUCCAUGCAGAAGUUAAAAAAGCAAACAGGCUCUUCUAUUCUGUAUGAGGAUAAACACCACUUCAGAGCAGGGCCUGAAUGCUUUUAACAUACAAGGUGUAACUGUAAAGGAACUUACUGUGGCCCUGUGUUCAUUCACUGAAGCUGUCCAUGUAUGUACUCCAACCAUACUAGUGCUGCUCAAAUACUAUUUGGACCAGUAGCUUGGGAUUUCCCCUCAUUAGGUUCAGACCAAAGAA